rnacentral:tRNA from 1 species
GGUAGAAUGGCUGAGUAAGUAUUAGACUGUAAAUCUAAAGACAGAGGGGUAACCUCUUUCUGCCA